GAUGAACGCUGGCGGCGUGCCUAAUACAUGCAAGUCGAGCGAACGGACGAGAAGCUUGCUUCUCUGAUGUUAGCGGCGGACGGGUGAGUAACACGUGGAUAACCUACCUAUAAGACUGGGAUAACUUCGGGAAACCGGAGCUAAUACCGGAUAAUAUUUUGAACCGCAUGGUUCAAAAGUGAAAGACGGUCUUGCUGUCACUUAUAGAUGGAUCCGCGCUGCAUUAGCUAGUUGGUAAGGUAACGGCUUACCAAGGCAACGAUGCAUAGCCGACCUGAGAGGGUGAUCGGCCACACUGGAACUGAGACACGGUCCAGACUCCUACGGGAGGCAGCAGUAGGGAAUCUUCCGCAAUGGGCGAAAGCCUGACGGAGCAACGCCGCGUGAGUGAUGAAGGUCUUCGGAUCGUAAAACUCUGUUAUUAGGGAAGAACAUAUGUGUAAGUAACUGUGCACAUCUUGACGGUACCUAAUCAGAAAGCCACGGCGAACUACGG
rnacentral:rRNA from 1 species